rnacentral:rRNA from 1 species
GGGGCGAGCGUUGUUCGGAAUUAUUGGGCGUAAAGGGUGCGUAGGCGGUUCGGUAAGUUUUGUGUGAAACCUUCGGGCUCAACUCGAAGCCUGCACAAAAUACUGCCGGGCUUGAGUGUGGGAGAGGUGAGUGGAAUUUCCGGUGUAGCGGUGAAAUGCGUAGAUAUCGGAAGGAACACCUGUGGCGAAAGCGGCUCACUGGACCACAACUGACGCUGAGGCACGAAAGCUAGGGGAGCAAACAGGAUUAGAUACCCUGGUAGUCCUAGCCCUAAACGAUGAUCGCUUGGUGUGGCGGGUACCCAAUCCCGUCGUGCCGAAGCUAACGCGUUAAGCGAUCCGCCUGGGGAGUACGGUCGCAAGGCUGAAACUCAAAGGA